rnacentral:rRNA from 1 species
AUGAACGCUAGCUACAGGCUUAACCCCUGCCAGUCGAGGGGAAACGACAUCGAAAGCUUGCUUUUGAUGGGCGUCGACCGGCGCACGGGUGAGUAACGCGUAUCCAACCUGCCCAUCACUUGGGAAUAACCUUGCGAAAGUAAGACUAAUACCCAAUGAUAUCCCACGAAGGCAUCGGAAUGGGAUUAAAGAUUUAUCGGUGAUGGAUGGGGAUGCGUCUGAUUAGCUUGUUGGCGGGGUAACGGCCCACCAAGGCAACGAUCAGUAGGGGUUCUGAGAGGAAGGUCCCCCACAUUGGAACUGAGACACGGUCCAAACUCCUACGGGAGGCAGCAGUGAGGAAUAUUGGUCAAUGGGCGAGAGCCUGAACCAGCCAAGUAGCGUGCAGGAAGACGGCCCUAUGGGUUGUAAACUGCUUUUAUGAGGGAAUAAAGUGGGUCACGUGUGACUUUUUGCAUGUACCUUAUGAAUAAGGACCGGCUAAUUCCGUG